rnacentral:rRNA from 1 species
UACUCCCGCCGGCGACCGGCGCACGGGUGAGUAACACGUAUGAAACCUGCCCGUAGCAGGGGGAUAAGCGGAAGAAAUUCCGUCUAAUACCGCGUAACAACCCGAGGAGGCAUCUCCUCGGGUUUAAAGGAAGCGAUUCCGGCUACGGAUGGUCAUGCGUCGCAUUAGCUAGUUGGCGGGGUAACGGCCCACCAAGGCGACGAUGCGUAGGGGUUCUGAGAGGAAGGCCCCCCACACUGGUACUGAGACACGGACCAGACUCCUACGGAAGGCAGCAG